rnacentral:rRNA from 1 species
AAAUUGAAGAGUUUGAUCAUGGCUCAGAUUGAACGCUGGCGGCAGGCCUAACACAUGCAAGUCGAACGGUAACAGGAAGAAGCUUGCUUCUUUGCUGACGAGUGGCGGACGGGUGAGUAAUGUCUGGGAAACUGCCUGAUGGAGGGGGAUAGCUACUGGAAACGGUAGCUAAUACCGCAUAACGUCGCAAGACCAAAGAGGGGGACCUUCGGGCCUCUUGCCAUCGGAUGUGCCCAGAUGGGAUUAGCUUGUUGGUGGGGUAACGGCUCACCAAGGCGACGAUCCCUAGCUGGUCUGAGAGGAUGACCAGCCACACUGGAACUGAGACACGGUCCAGACUCCUACGGGAGGCAGCAGUGGGGAAUAUUGCACAAUGGGCGCAAGCCUGAUGCAGCCAUGCCGCGUGUAUGAAGAAGGCCUUCGGGUUGUAAAGUACUUUCAGCGGGGAGGAAGGGAGUAAAGUUAAUACCUUU